UACGUAGGGUGCGAGCGUUGUCCGGAAUUAUUGGGCGUAAAGGGCUCGUAGGCGGUUUGUCGCGUCGGGAGUGAAAACCUUGGGCUUAACUCAGGGCUUGCUUUCGAUACGGGCAGACUAGAGGUAGGUAGGGGAGACGUGAAUUCCUGGUGUAGCGGUGAAAUGCGCAGAUAUCAGGAGGAACACCGGUGGCGAAGGCGGGUCUC
rnacentral:rRNA from 1 species